rnacentral:rRNA from 1 species
CUACGGGUUGCUCCAGUGGGGAAUAUUGCACAAUGGGGGAAACCCUGAUGCAGCAACGCCGCGUGGAGGAUGACACAUUUCGGUGCGUAAACUCCUUUUAUAUGAGAAGAAAAUGACGGUAUCAUAUGAAUAAGCGCCGGCUAACUCCGUGCCAGCAGCCGCGGUAAUACGGAGGGCGCAAGCGUUACUCGGAAUCACUGGGCGUAAAGAGCGUGUAGGCGGGUAGUUAAGUUGGAAGUGAAAUCCUAUGGCUCAACCAUAGAACUGCUUCCAAAACUGAUUACCUAGAAUAUGGGAGAGGUAGAUGGAAUUUCUGGUGUAGGGGUAAAAUCCGUAGAGAUCAGAAGGAAUACCGAUUGCGAAGGCGAUCUACUGGAACAUUAUUGACGCUGAGACGCGAAAGCGUGGGGAGCAAACAGGAUUAGAUACCCUAGUAGUC